UACGAAGGGGGCUAGCGUUGUUCGGAUUUACUGGGCGUAAAGCGCACGUAGGCGGAUCGUUAAGUCGGGGGGUGAAAUCCUGGAGCUCAACUCCAGAACUGCCUUCGAUACUGGCGAUCUUGAGUCCGGAAGAGGUGAGUGGAACUCCUAGUGUAGAGGUGGAGUUCGUAGAUAUUAGGAAGAACACCAGUGGCGAAGGCGGCUCACUGGUCCGGUACUGACGCUGAGGGAGCGAAAAGCGUGGGGGAGCAAAAC
rnacentral:rRNA from 1 species